rnacentral:misc_RNA from 1 species
GAAAUGCGAUAAGUAAUGUGAAUUGCAGAAUUCAGUGAAUCAUCGAAUCUUUAAACGCACCUUGCGCUCCUUGGUAUUCCUUGGAGCAUGCCUGUUUGAGUAUCAUGAAAUCUUCAAAGUAAAUCUUUUGUUAACUCAAUUGGUUUCUACUUUGGUAUUGGAGGUCUUUGCAGCUUCACACCUGCUCCUCUUUGUUCAUUAGCUGGAUCUCAGUGUUAUGCUUGGUUCCACUCGGCGUGAUAAGUUAUCUAUCGCUGAGGACACUGUAAAAGGUGGCCAAGGUAAAUGCAGAUGAACCGCUUCUAAUAGUCCAUUGACUUGGACAAUACUUUUAUGAUCUGAUCUCAAAUCAGGUAGGACUACCCGCUGAACUUAAGC